rnacentral:tRNA from 1 species
AGCAAGUGCAAUAGAGAGAAGUUGGUCAACCAAAAGGUCGAGCAAGGGAUUAACCGAGAGGUUAAAGAGUAGAAGUCUUUCAAACUAUUGCCUAGGCGAGGUAAAAGGCAAGGGCUAUUAGCUCAGCUGGUUAGAGCGCACCCCUGAUAAGGGUGAGGUCUCUGGUUCAAGUCCAGAAUGGCCCACCUAACCAAAAAAGCCAAAGAGAAGGAUAAAUCCUUCAGCAUCCUGUCUGAUGAGAGUCAGAGGGAAUGCUGGAUGUAAGUCCAGUAAGGACCUUGAAAACUGCAUAAAGAAAAGAGAAAGCAGGGAAAAUCUUGCUUUUCCUAACCGUUUUGAUGUUAACCACAAGGCUUUUGGCUGAGUGUGAGACUGAAGGGCGGUGAAGGUAGGAGGAAAGAUGAUCCUAGUUAGCAAAAAGAAGAUCUUAAAAAGGUCAAGCUACAAAGGGCUAACGGUGGAUACCU